CACAUGAAAAAGGAAGAACCAAAGGAAAGAUUAGAACGUUCAGUAACAAUUGAGUUCAAAUGAAGAUAAUUUCAGAACAAAUGAAAACCCUAGAGGAAUUCUUCUAAAAAUUAUAGACCUCAAGUAAUGAAUGAGAGGCGUCUCCAACAAAGCAAAUAAAAUAUCUUAUUGAAUGA